rnacentral:lncRNA from 1 species
GGAACAUUUUUUGGAAUUCAUAAACAUUUUUGUAAAAUACAUGCAUGGUCCUAAAUACAAUCACUAGGACAGUUCGUUGUGCGCACGAAGUAUACCAAGCUGGCCGGCGUUCGUCGCUCGGUACAUUUUCCGUGCUUACAGUUCAUGUCGACACACGCUGCAGUCCAGGCAGGGCGCACACAUGGAGCUGGCUUGGCAUCUACCUAAACCGACACACGCUGCAGUCCCAGCAACGGCAAUGGAUGUUGGUUGUCACAUUACAAGUUUACGUACACGGUUCUAUCAUAUCAUGCAGGCAAGUAAACAAUUGAUCAAACUAGCCGGAGUGCCAUUCUUGCAAGUCUGCUUAAUCAAUGACUACAACUCACGACAUGCUCACAUCACACACAUAACUCAACGAAACUGAAACGGAAGUAGGCAUGCACCUAACUCGUCGAUGGACACCACGCGAACACACACGCGCGCGCACACACACACAGUUGUAGUUUGUUGCAGUUUGCUCUGUCACAUGUGUGCUGACUGCCUGGAGAUAAUUAAGGAAACAUGUAAGAAAAACUGAACGUAAUUGCAUACGGUUUUAUCUCGAAGAAAAAUCGAGCACGGUUUAUUGCAUUUCUGACAUCACAUCAUCGUUUUAACCAACAUGAGCAUGUAAAUAUAUAAGCAAGCAAAAGUAAAAUGAUGCAUGAUAUUUACCAGAAGAAAACUUUUUCUACUCCACACAUCACGAACAUGCAUGCUGCUAAGAAAUUCGAAUUUACUAGACAAUAGAGAGUAUGUUAACGUACAUUGCAUUCUUCUCUUCACCGGUCAGUUGAGAACAUUAGCGAUUGUCAGCAACAGGUUGACGAACUGCAUGGCUACAAGGGCGUAGAGGAGACCUGUUGGAAACCAAAACUUUGUUGUAUUAGUACCAUUCGUUCUCCUUUUAGAAGAAUAAAAUGUACCAUUCGUUCUGGAGCAACGAAAAAAGA